rnacentral:rRNA from 1 species
UGGGGAAUUUUACGCAAUGGGGGAAACCCUGACGUAGCGACACCGCGUGCGCGAAGAAGCCCUUUGGGGUGUAAAGCUCUGUCAGCUGGAACGAAAACAAUGACGGUACCAGCAGAGGAAGCAUCGGCUAACUACGUGCCAGCAGCCGCGGUAAGACGUAGGAUGCGUGCGUUGUCCGGAUUUCUUGGGCGUAAAGAGUUCGUAGGUGGUUUGUUAAGUUUGGUGUUAAAGAUCGGGGCUAAACCCUGGGACUGCACUGAAUACUGGCAGACUCGAGUGUGGUAUCGGCGAGUGGAGUUCCCAGCGUAGCGGUGAAAUGCGUAGAUAUUGGGAAGAACUCCGGUGGCGUAGGCGACGAGCUGGGCCAUAACUGACGCUGAGGAACGAAAGCCAGGGGAGCGAAUGGG